UACAGAGGAUGCAAGCGUUAUCCGGAAUGAUUGGGCGUAAAGCGUCUGUAGGUGGCUUUUUAAGUCCGCCGUCAAAUCCCAGGGCUCAACUCUGGACAGGCGGUGGAAACUACCAAGCUGGAGUACGGUAGGGGCAGAGGGAAUUUCCUGUGUAGCGGUGAAAUGCGUAGAUAUAGGAAGGAACACCAGUGGCGAAGGCGACCACCUGGACUGAUACUGACACUGAGGUGCGAAAGCGUGGGGAGCAAACAGG
rnacentral:rRNA from 1 species